rnacentral:tRNA from 1 species
AGAAACUUAGGUUAAACAUUAAACCAAGAGCCUUCAAAGCCCUAAACAGGGGGUAAAACCUCUAGCUUCUG